GAUUACGGGAGGCUGCAGUGGGGAAUCUUGCGCAAUGGGCGAAAGUUGAUGCAGCCAUGCCGCGUGAAUGAUGAAGGUCUUAGGAUUGUAAAAUUCUUUCACCGGGGACGAUAAUGACGGUACCCGGAGAAGAAGCCCCGGCUAACUUCGUGCCAGCAGCCGCGGUAAUACGAAGGGGGCUAGCGUUGCUCGGAAUUACUGGGCGUAAAGGGAGCGUAGGCGGACAUUUAAGUCAGGGGUGAAAUCCCGGGGCUCAACCUCGGAAUUGCCUUUGAUACUGGGUGUCUUGAGUAUGAGAGAGGUGUGUGGAACUCCGAGUGUAGAGGUGAAAUUCGUAGAUAUUCGGAAGAACACCAGUGGCGAAGGCGACACACUGGCUCAUUACUGACGCUGAGGCUCGAAAGCGUGGGGAGCAAACAGGAUUAGAUACCCUUGUAGUCGAUUCUU
rnacentral:rRNA from 1 species